rnacentral:rRNA from 1 species
UACGGAGGGUGCAAGCGUUAUCCGGAUUCACUGGGUUUAAAGGGAGCGUAGGCGGACUUGUAAGUCAGUGGUGAAAUCUGUGGGCUUAACCCACAAACUGCCAUUGAUACUGCAGGUCUAGAGUACAGUUGCCGUUGGCGGAAUAUGACAUGUAGUGGUGAAAUACUUAGAUAUGUCAUAGAACACCGAUUGCGAAGGCAGCUAACGAAGCUGUAACUGACGCUGAGGCUCGAAAGUGCGGGGAUCAAACAGG